UUACAGAUAUACAUAUAUGUUAUAUAAUGUAGAUGUUCAAAGAAAAACAACCAUGUCGAACACAGUGAUAAGGAUGACAAGGGCUGAAGGGAGCCUAGAUGUACUGCGAGAUGUUUACCGACAAACUGAAGCCAAGGAUCUUCAGCUCCAUUGUGCAGAUGGAGUCGUUCAGUCAUAUCAGUUGCUGUUUAGCUUGAAUAGUGAGUUCUUGAAGAUC